rnacentral:rRNA from 1 species
GAUGAACGCUGGCGGCGUGCCUAAUACAUGCAAGUCGAGCGAACAGACGAGGAGCUUGCUCCUUUGACGUUAGCGGCGGACGGGUGAGUAACACGUGGGUAACCUACCUAUAAGACUGGGAUAACUUCGGGAAACCGGAGCUAAUACCGGAUAAUAUUUCGAACCGCAUGGUUCGAUAGUGAAAGAUGGCUCUGCUAUCACUUAUAGAUGGACCUGCGCCGUAUUAGCUAGUUGGUAAGGUAACGGCUUACCAAGGCAACGAUACGUAGCCGACCUGAGAGGGGGAUCGGCCACACUGGAACUGAGACACGGUCCAGACUCCUACGGGAGGCAGCAGUAGGGAAUCUUCCGCAAUGGGCGAAAGCCUGACGGAGCAACGCCGCGUGAGUGAUGAAGGUCUUCGGAUCGGAAAACUCUGUUAUUAGGGAAGAACAAACGUGUAAGUAACUGUGCACGUCUUGACGGUACCUAAUCAGAAAGCCACGGCUAACUACGUG